GACGAAUGCUGGCGGCGUGCUUAACACAUGCAAGUCGAACGGAAAGGCCCUGCUUUUGUGGGGUGCUCGAGUGGCGAACGGGUGAGUAACACGUGAGUAACCUGCCCUUGACUUUGGGAUAACUUCAGGAAACUGGGGCUAAUACCGGAUAGGAGCUCCUGCUGCAUGGUGGGGGUUGGAAAGUUUCGGCGGUUGGGGAUGGACUCGCGGCUUAUCAGCUUGUUGGUGGGGUAGUGGCUUACCAAGGCUUUGACGGGUAGCCGGCCUGAGAGGGUGACCGGCCACAUUGGGACUGAGAUACGGCCCAGACUCCUACGGGAGGCAGCAGCGGGGAAUAUUGCACAAUGGGCGGAAGCCUGAUGCAGCAACGCCGCGUGCGGGAUGACGGCCUUCGGGUUGUAAACCGCUUUCGCCUGUGACGAAGCGUGAGUGACGGUAAUGGGUAAAGAAGCACCGGCUAACUACGUG
rnacentral:rRNA from 1 species